UGGGGAAUUUUGGACAAUGGGCGAAAGCCUGAUCCAGCAAUGCCGCGUGAGUGAAGAAGGCCUUCGGGUUGUAAAGCUCUUUUGUCAGGGAAGAAACGGUGAGGGCUAAUAUCCCUUGCUAAUGACGGUACCUGAAGAAUAAGCACCGGCUAACUACGUGCCAGCAGCCGCGGUAAUACGUAGGGUGCAAACGUUAAUCGGAAUUACUGGGCGUAAAGCGUGCGCAGGCGGUUUUGUAAGUCUGAUGUGAAAUCCCCGGGCUCAACCUGGGAAUUGCAUUGGAGACUGCAAGGCUAGAAUCUGGCAGAGGGGGGUAGAAUUCCACGUGUAGCAGUGAAAUGCGUAGAUAUGUGGAGGAACACCGAUGGCGAAGGCAGCCCCCUGGGUCAAGAUUGACGCUCAUGCACGAAAGCGUGGGGAGCAAACA
rnacentral:rRNA from 1 species